rnacentral:rRNA from 1 species
UUGCACAAUGGGGGAAACCCUGAUGCAGCGAUGCCGCGUGAGUGAAGAAGGCCUUUGGGUUGUAAAGCUCUUUCGUCGGGGAAGAAAAUGACUGUACCCGAAUAAGAAGGUCCGGCUAACUUCGUGCCAGCAGCCGCGGUAAUACGAAGGGACCUAGCGUAGUUCGGAAUUACUGGGCUUAAAGAGUUCGUAGGUGGUUGAAAAAGUUGGUGGUGAAAUCCCAGAGCUUAACUCUGGAACUGCCAUCAAAACUUUUCAGCUAGAGUUUGAUAGAGGAAAGCAGAAUUUCUAGUGUAGAGGUGAAAUUCGUAGAUAUUAGAAAGAAUACCAAUUGCGAAGGCAGCUUUCUGGAUCAUUACUGACACUGAGGAACGAAAGCAUGGGUAGCGAAGAGGAUUAGAUACCCUCGUAGUCCAUGCCGUAAACGAUGUGUGUUAGACGUUGGAAAUUUAUUUUCAGUGUCGCAGCGAAAGCGAUAAACACACCGCCUGGGGAGUACGACCGCAAGGUUAAAACUCAAAUGAAUUGACGGGGACCCGCACAAGUAGUGGAGCAUGUGGUUUAAUUCGAAGAUACGCGCAGAACCUUACCAACACUUGACAUGUUCGUCGCGACUUUAAGAGAUUAAAGUUUUCGGUUCGGCCGGACGAAACACAGGUGCUGCAUGGCUGUCGUCAGCUCGUGUCGUGAGAUGUUGGGUUAAGUCCCGCAACGAGCGCAACCCUCACUUUUAGUUGCCAUCAUUUAGUUGGGCACUCUGAAAGAACUGCCAGUGAUAAGCUGGAGGAAGGUGGGGAUGACGUCAAGUCCUCAUGGCCCUUACGUGUUGGGCUACACACGUGCUACAAUGGUAUUUACAACAGGAAGCAAAACGGCGACGUUUAGCAAAUCCUUAAAAAAUACCUCAGUUCGGAUUGCACUCUGCAACUCGAGUGCAUGAAGCUGGAAUUACUAGUAAUCGUGGAUCAGCGUGCCACGGUGAAUGCGUUCCCGGGUCUUGUACACACCGCCCGUCACACCAUGGGAGUUGGU